UACGAAGGGGGCUAGCGUUGCUCGGAAUCACUGGGCGUAAAGCGCACGUAGGCGGCUUACUAAGUCAGGGGUGAAAUCCUGGAGCUCAACUCCAGAACUGCCUUUGAUACUGGCGAGCUUGAGUCCGGGAGAGGUGAGUGGAACUGCGAGUGUAGAGGUGAAAUUCGUAGAUAUUCGCAAGAACACCAGUGGCGAAGGCGGCUCACUGGCCCGGUACUGACGCUGAGGUGCGAAAGCGUGGGGAGCAAACAGG
rnacentral:rRNA from 1 species